rnacentral:rRNA from 1 species
AUGCAUGUGUCAGUACAGGCCGAUUUAAGGCGAAACCGCGAAUGGCUCAUUAAAUCAGCUAUGAUUUAUUGGAUCUGUAAACCCACUUACUUGGAUAACUGUGGUAAUUCUAGAGCUAAUACAUGCUACAAGUCUCUGACCGAGAGGGAAGAGCGCUUUUAUUAGUUCAAAACCGAUCGGGCUUCGGUCCGUCCCACUUUGUGUUGAAUCUGAAUAACUUUGAGCUGAGCGCACGGUCCUCGCACCGGCGCCGCAUCUUUCAAGUGUCUGCCUUAUCAGCUUUCGAUUGUAGGUUAUAUGCCUACAAUGGCUAUAACGGGUAACGGGGAAUCAGGGUUCGAUUCCGGAGAGGGAGCCUGAGAAACGGCUACCACAUCUAAGGAAGGCAGCAGGCGCGCAAAUUACCCACUCCCGGCACGGGGAGGUAGUGACGAAAAAUAACGAUGCGAGACUCAUCCGAGGCCUCGCAAUCGGAAUGAGUACACUUUAAAUCCUUUAACGAGGACCCAUUGGAGGGCAAGUCUGGUGCCAGCAGCCGCGGUAAUUCCAGCUCCAAUAGCGUAUAUUAAAGUUGUUGCGGUUAAAAAGCUCGUAGUUGGAAUUAAGUUCUGGACUGACGGAUGCACCGCCCGGUGCAUGCUGUCACGCUCCGAACGGCAGCCGCCCUCACGGGUUGGCCCCGCCGGCUCGCACGGGGUGCUCUUGAUCGAGUGUCCCGGGUGGCCGGCACGUUUA